rnacentral:lncRNA from 1 species
AGUUAAUGUACGACUUUACGUCAUUUCUGACAUCAUAGAUAAUAUUUUGAUAAGGAAACAGUGAGCCAGCAUUUAUGAGACUUUGACUAAAGACUGAUUCUUAAGUUCACAGACACUGUCUAUGUCAUCGAGUAAUGCCAAAAUACUAUUAAGUUCAACAGGUAGAGAAGUUUUAUUGUGAAACUCGGUCAUUGAUUUUUUUUAAAAGAUUUAUUUAUUCAUUUAAUGUAUAUGAGUACACUGUUGCUGUCUUCAGACACACCAGAAGAGGCCAUCAGAUCCCAUUACAGAUGUUUGUGAGCCUCCAUGUGGCUGCUGGGAAUUGAACUCAGGACCUCUGGACGACUAGUCAGUCAGUGCUCUUAACCGCUGAGCCAUCUCUCCAGCCCAGUCAUUGAUUUUUAUUCCUACUUUUGCUGUUCAUUUGUGAUUAUUGCACCUGGUUCUUGUGCGGGGAGGGGUGCUGUCUGUCCUGUGUGCAUCCAUGGACCACAGACCGUGCUUGGAUUUAGAUGUUUGCAUUUCCUCACCUGGCCUGUACCUGCACAGUUGUUUGUGUUGGGUCCUGGGUUGCGCCUGGAAUCUUACUUGUUUCCUUCUGAACUUGUCUCUGUAAAAGAAGUAGACUGGCUCAUAGGAAAUAUGAGGCUGGGGAGGCGGCACUCUGUAAGAUGUCAGGGGCACAAGUGUGAGGACCUGAAUUUGCAUCCCUAGAAUGCUUGUAAAAAGACCAGGCUUUGCUGAGGGAGCCAGGGACCCUGGGGAGGAAGGUGGGUAGGGUAUGGAGUUAGGUCGGAUCCCUGUACCUAGUUGGCCAGCUCUUACCUUUCCAACUUCAUGGGCCUCAGUUUUAGUGACUGAUACACCCUGUCUCAAAACCAAAGAAGAACACUGGAGGAAAGCCCCCGGCUUCUGGUCUCUGUGUGCACUGGCAUGUGUGUGCACAUGCACCGACAUGUUCACAUUAACAAGUGCCUCCCCUACCACACCACUACCCUUACACACGACUACCACACACGUACAUGUAUAUACAAACACACACAUGUAGACCAGAGAUCAGCAAAGUGUACUGCUGGGCUAUAUAAAAAAAUAACAUGAGACAGAUAUUUGCAGUAGUUAGCCUUUACAAAAUGUUUGCUACCUCUUGAAGACAAGAUGCUCGUGGGCCGACGCUGGUUCAGAUCUUGGUUUUACCAUUUCCAGUUCGACUUGGGCAAAUUACUUAAUCUCUCUGUGACUAGUUUUCCAAUCUGUAAUUGUAAUUAUAGCCUGCCUCAUUGGGUUGUGGUGAGGACUAACUUAAUGUACAAAAUGCUCAGAACAAUGUCUGGGAUUAAUGGGUGCUCAAUGAAUGUUAGUCAGUGCUCCUGUGCGGGAGAGAGCCCCGAAGGAGCUUCUGAACCAUUCUUGGUUUCAGCUGGUACACACCCAAAUUAUCCAGCCCACUCGCUCUGUGGUUCCUGUAUUGAGAAGGGAAGGCUGUCUUGUUGUUGUUUUGUUUUGUUUUUUAUUUUUAAAUAGUGAAUGCGUUCCUGAAAAACAAAGUCAAGUUGAAUCUACACUGAAAUGUGAAAAAUAAUCUU